rnacentral:misc_RNA from 1 species
GAUGAAGAACGUAGCGAAAUGCGAUAAGUAAUGUGAAUUGCAGAAUUCAGUGAAUCAUCGAAUCUUUGAACGCACAUUGCGCCCGCCAGUAUUCUGGCGGGCAUGCCUGUCCGAGCGUCAUUUCAACCCUCGAACCCCUCCGGGGGGUCGGCGUUGGGGAUCGGCCCUUUCACCGGGUGCCGGCCCCUAAAUACAGUGGCGGUCUCGCCGCAGCCUCUCAUGCGCAGUAGUUUGCACGCUCGCACCGGGAGCGCGGCGCGUCCUCGUCCGUAAAACACCCCAAACUUCUGAAAUGUUGACCUCGGAUCAGGUAGGAAUACCCGCUGAACUUAAGCAUAUCAAUAAGCGGAGGA